GGGAGAAGAAGAAGCAAACCCUAACCUCAUCUUCAAACCUUGAUAACUUUUGAUCCGGAGUUCCGAUUGACGAGCUGUUUGCGACCCCGCGACGGGCUCGUCGAGCUCUUUAAUUCUAUUUAACCAAAACAGGGUCCACUAGACUUGAUUUCUUGUGGGUAUUGCCCAAGGAUCAGUGGGUAAAGGUAGUGUGUCUGUGAAUGUUGAUGCUUGUUGGAGGCUUGUUGGUGAUCAAGCUUGGUUUGGGGCUGUUUGAUUGAGCUUGGAGGGGCUGUACUUUUGAGUUGUGAGGCUGCCUUGGGUGAACUAAGUGAUCGGCCAAGGUAUGGUUUAAGUUUCGCAC